rnacentral:rRNA from 1 species
GGACUGACCUCUGGUGUGCCAGUUGUUCUGCCAAGGGCAUGGCUGGUUGGCUACGUCGGGUUGUGAUAACCGCUGAAAGCAUCUAAGCGGGAAGCACGCUUCAAGAUGAGGGUUCCUGCAGAUGAAUCUGGUAAGGUCUCCGGUAGACGACCGGGUUGAUAGGCCAGGCGUGGACGCAUCGUAAGGUGUGGAGCUGACUGGUACUAAUAGACCGAGGACUUACACAACAUUC